UUAAAACAGAAAUAGAUAGGUAUUAAGUGGAGAAGGAGAUUAAUCUCCCGUGCCCUAAAUCCUUCUCUUCUCCCUCUCGUGCGCGCGGCGGUUGUUCUCGGGCGAAGACAUAGCUGGAGGCUAGGGCUUCUCCGGCGGUCGGCCAAAGGGGAUUUUUCCGCGAGCUCUUCUCGGAUCUGAGCUCCCCUCAUCAAGAAGGAACGGUGAGCACAAGAGGAGGCCGGAAAGCUCGGGCUAACCGGAAACCCUAGAGUUCUUCUUCUCGGUUUUGAGUCCAAGAAGCAAGAUAAAGGAAAGGAAAAUAUAUAGUAAAGGAAGGCGACAAGGUGGCGCGGAUGGUGUGUGAUGCCAGGACUAUGAGAGAGACUUGGGAUGUUAUUGAGUUUUGUGUUUAGUGGAUAAGAAACAAUUGAGUUGAAUUUUAUACUUCAUGUCAUUUGAGUUCAUUCGUGUUUUAGAUUGCAUGCUGAGAUGAGUUCUGUGUAAUAAGUAGAUAUUUUGGUGUUUGACACUUAUUUAA